UGUAGUGUGCAGAUGUGUGUUCCAGCAGAGGUCCAGAGGUGCAGACGCUGUAAUAUCUGCUGGGGUCCAGAGAUGAGGGAGUGGUUUUGGUCUUUUGUUUUCCACAAGAACACAGAAUAGUAGGCAGCUGAGAGGCAGCUGCCAGAUCUUUACAUGUGAGUGGUGGCUUAUAUGUGUGUUGAUGAGAUGGGAUUGUGUGUGUGUGUGUGUGUGUGUGUGUGUGUGUGUGUGUGUGCACGCGUGUGUGGAUGUGAUAACAACAUCUAUCUGUAUCUGGGGCCUUUAUAUUUAUGUCCUGCUGUAUACAGUGUGUGUGUGUGUGUGUGUGUGUGUGUGUGUGUGUGAUAACAGCAUC